rfam:Enterococcus faecium DO, complete genome.
GUUCGUCUUCAGGGGCAGGGUGAAAUUCCCGACCGGUGGUUAUAGUCCACGACCUAUUUUGCAAAAAAAUAGCUGAAUCGGUGAAAUUCCGAUACCGACAGUAUAGUCUGGAUAAAGAAGAUAGAG